ensembl:snRNA U2 U2 spliceosomal RNA
CCAGCUAAGAUCAAGUGUAGUAUCUACUCUUAGAUAAGUUCUCAAUGAGAGUACUUCAUAUUAAAUGAAUUUUUGAACUCUGUAGUUGGAUUUGGAGCUUGUUCCCUCCACUCCGUGCAUUGUCCUGAUACUGUGGAUGUAGCACUGAAAGACAUGGUUUAGUGAUGGGACU